rnacentral:rRNA from 1 species
CAGUGUAGCGCGCGUGCAGCCCUGGACAUCUAAGGGCAUCACAGACCUGUUAUUGCUCAACUUCAUGCGGCUAAGCCAUGCAUGUCUAAGUUCAAAUAAACCUAUAAUGGUGAAACCGCGAACGGCUCAUUAUAACAGCUAUAAUGUACUUGAUGUUGAUUAUCCAACGUGGAUACUGUGGCAAUUCUAGAGCUAAUAACAUGGCAACCAAAGCUCCSGAAUUUUAAACGRRSCGCAUCUAUUAGAUUAAAACCAAUCCGGAUUAUUAAUUUUAAUCCCGUUAAUUGGUGACUCCUGAAAUAGCCUAUGGCUGAUCCGCAUGGUCCUUGUUACCCGGCGACGUUAUCUAUCAAGUGUCUGCCUUAUCAACUUUCGAUGGUAGUUUAUGUGCCUACCAUGGUUGUAACGGGCAACGGAGAAUAAGGGUUCGACUCCGGAGAGGGAGCCUGAGAAACGGCUACCACAUCCAAGGAAGGCAGCAGGCGCGCAAAUUACCCACUCUCAGAAU